rnacentral:lncRNA from 1 species
AUUUACCGAGGAGGACUCGGGCCCUGCGAGGUCACUUCAUCCUGGCCCAGGUACUGCAGCUCCAAAUCGUGGGGAUUCUGUAAGAGCUUGCUACCUGUUGACUGAGGAGGCCCACGAGUCGAGAAGAACUAGCAAGAGUGGUACAAAACUGCAGGUCAUUGGGCUGGCCACCAGGUAUUCCCACCCACCAGAAGCUGGCUGUUGUACUCACCCGGAACCAUGGUGCACCACCACAGCGGCGAGGUCAUACAGGCAGCUCUCCGGGCCACUGUUCUCAGGCUACAGAACAAGGAAGAAGGAGCAGUGGUCAAUGACAUCAGUAUCUCGAUGACCUCUACCCUCUCCAUGUGAUGACAAUCUUACUGAAGAGCCAUUUUUUCACCAUGCUAAAAAGGUAAUCCUUUCUGGUAUAACAUGAAGUCAGC